UGCCAACGUUUGAGCUGCUCUAUCCUUCAUAUAUCAAUCCACAGAUGCACAUUGGCCUAGGGCCUUAUGUGGACCCUCCAUUCUAUGACGUAUUUGGAAAGUGACCACCAGCUGGGCUGUUUCAGGAUAACACAGCUGAGCAGGAUGCUUCAUCUGUACUUGGUCUCAGAAUUAUUUGAUACAGUGAUCAAUGAUAAUCAUGGCAAACCAGUGCUGGAUUUGGAAUCAACCCCAGUGGUGGUUUCCAGGCUCAUGGUGCUAUUAGUCUAUUUGUUUCAAAAUAUCUUUUUAAACAGUAGUUUCUCUUCUUCUCUUCUCCAUUUCCUUCUGCUCUUGAUUUGCAGCCAUGUCUUUCCUAAUGGUAAGAUUCUUCCGAUCCUUAAUUUGCUAGAUAUUUCCUUGUUGAGAAAUUGUGAUUCUUUUAUAUCUGACUUCUUUUAGUAUCUGUAUUAGUGUUUUCUUUUCUUUUCUUUUCUUUUUCCAGAAUUUCAUGUUUCUGCAGUUGAAAUAUAAUUCGUGUUUAUUUUUUUGAUGUCCUUCAUUUAUAAGGUAAAUCAAAUACACUUCUUGUGGAAGCUGGUCCUAUGCAACUCCUUCCAUAGUAAGUUUAUUCUAUAUGAGUGUUGCACAUGGGGUCCACAAGUCUUUAGUAUAUUGUCCACAAGUUUCUAAGCAUCUGUUGCUUUCUCAUCUUGUUCUCAAUAAUUAGUUUGUAGAGAAUUUUGAAGUUGCUCAUUACAUUCUGAUAGAUAGUUUAUCCUAUAGGGGCCCACUCGAGUGGUACUGUUACCACCAGGUGAUGACGUGGUUAUUUCAAACACACGGCUUUAUGACAGUUUUUUCAAGCAAAGAUGCUCCUUGGUGUUGCUGGCCAAAUGGGCUGUUGGCACUUAGCAUUUUUCUCCAACAGUCACUUACAGAACAACCAAUUAACCGGAUCGGUUAUCUUCCUGGCUAAUCUCCCACUGUCUGAAUUGUAUGUCUCAAACUCAAGUGUGUUCCUAGCAAGUCUUUAAACAUGUUUUAUUUUUGUGCUGCACACUGAAGCAUUUGCUGAUCAUUGAUUUGCACUGUGCAGCAGGCUUAUUUGUGUAAUGUCAGCUGUUUCAUUUACUUUGGGUUGGCAUCUGUAGAGUCUAUAUAGGGAUUUGGGCUGCACAAUUAAGCACAGGCCAAUUAUCAAUCAAGUACAGCAGGCAUAUCUGUAAUGUCAUCUGUUGUGGUUGCUUUGAGUGGGCUCCAUGGUGCAAUCCAAUUAGCAU